rnacentral:lncRNA from 1 species
AUUCAGCGUUUGGGUCAAGAUGAAGGCGGGUUCUGGACAGACGUACCCAGUCAGGGAAUGUUUACUUUGCCUCCACUUCUGUUCCUCCCCGCCCUGGUGCUGCUCCGGGUCACAUACUCGUCCUGAGCCGGCUUCAGCCUCUCCGCGCAGAAGUCUCCCGGAGCCGACUUCUGAGAGUCGAGUACUCCUAUGUGAAGACUACCAAGCUCGUGUUCAAGGGAACCAAGGCGAAGAGUAAGAAGAAAAAGAACAAAGAUAAGAAAAGAAAAAGAGAAGAAGAUGAAGAAACCCAGCUUGAUAUGUUGGGGAAAAUGGCUUUGUCGACCUCAAAUAGCUGCUUUAUUAGAUACAGUGAAGCAGAGGACAUAGAAGCAAAAAGUAAAACAGCAGGAGAAGAAGAAAUGAUCAAGAUUAGAUCCUGUGCUGAAAGAGAAACCAAGAAAAAAGAUGACAUUCCAGAAGAAGACAAAGGAAAUAUAAAACAAUGUGAAAUCAAUUACGUAAAGAAAUUUCAGAGCUUCCAAGACCACAAACUUAAAAUAAGUAAAGAAGAGAGUAAAAUUCUUAAAAAGGCUCAGAAAGAUGGAUUUUUGCAUGAAACGCUUCUGGACAGAGUCUCAGUCAUAGCCUGCCUUCAUCUCUGAAGGGACCAGGCGACCCACGGAGUGCCUCGGCAGCCUUGUUAUUGCAUGCAAUCUUCACAGACAAGAUCUCACUGCAACCAGGUUUCUACAGGAGCACAGGUGUGACAUUAUAGUGAUGACAUCAUUCUCAGAGAAAAUUCAUUUUACGCACUAAGGACACACAGAUACAAGGAGGCUUACACAAAGGGAAUGGACCUUUCCACAACACAGAUGUGCAAGGCCCUGCCACUUUGCUUCAAUUCCUGAAAAUUCCUUGGUAAACAUGGAGCUACUCUAUUCCUGACACUUUCAAGAAAUAGUUAUUGAUCCUCUCAGCGUCCACAAUGUUAAUACAAGCCCAACAUUCUUUAAUUUGUGUUUUGUUUUUUGGAGGCACAGUCUUGCUCUGUCACCCAGGCUGGUAUGAAGUGGCACGAUUUCAGCUCACUGCAGCCUCGACCUCCUGAGCUCUAGC